rnacentral:misc_RNA from 1 species
GUGAUAUUUAACAUGUCUUGGACUUAAAAUAGGAAUUGUUUACUUUUUUUCUUUUUGUUUCCCACUCGGUGUCCAGUAUCAACAUUGGGGCGCGAGUAAAUAUGAAUUCACGCCAAGAAGUCUCACAUUGAAGGGUAAGCCGCUCCCUAACAGAAGUGACUUCAUAUUUGAUUGUUUUACUUAAGAUGAACAACAUCCACCUUUCUUUGUAUCUGCAACUGUAUCUUCAUUUCCUUCAUCAGCCUGCAAAACCACAGACUUACCAUUUGCUAGCCGCCCCGAGUCCUUUUUCUGGAGCUCUUGAGAUUGAAUGACUUUUCUGCUCAGAAUAUUAUAGAUCUCCCUAACAACUGUCUGGAAAGCAGACGUUACAUUCGAUGAAUCCAAAGCUGAAGUUUCGAUGAAAAAUAGACCUUUCGCCUCAGCCAAGGCUUUGCCUUCCGCUGUUGUAACUUCCCUGGCGUCUUUGAGAUCAGACUUGUUGCCAACGAGUAUUAUAACCACAUUCAUGUCCGAAUGAGCUGUUAAAGGAGUAAGAUAUAAGUCAAAAACGAUGCUAUCAAGUAAGUAAAAAGAUCCUGAAAAUUGAAGCUGUCAUGUAUGUUGCUUUAUUUUAUGAG